rnacentral:rRNA from 1 species
GAUGAACGCUGGCGGCGUGCCUAAUACAUGCAAGUCGAGCGAACGGACGAGAAGCUUGCUUCUCUGAUGUUAGCGGCGGACGGGUGAGUAACACGUGGAUAACUUACCUAUAAGACUGGGAUAACUUCGGGAAACCGGAGCUAAUACCGGAUAAUAUUUUGAACCGCAUGGUUCAAAAGUGAAAGACGGUCUUGCUGUCACUUAUAGAUGGAUCCGCGCUGCAUUAGCUAGUUGGUAAGGUAACGGCUUACCAAGGCAACGAUGCAUAGCCGACCUGAGAGGGUGAUCGGCCACACUGGAACUGAGACACGGUCCAGACUCCUACGGGAGGCAGCAGUAGGGAAUCUUCCGCAAUGGGCGAAAGCCUGACGGAGCAACGCCGCGUGAGUGAUGAAGGUCUUCGGAUCGUAAAACUCUGUUAUUAGGGAAGAACAUAUGUGUAAGUAACUGUGCACAUCUUGACGGUACCUAAUCAGAAAGCCACGGCUAACUACGUGCCAGCAGCCGCGGUAAUACGUAGGUGGCAAGCGUUAUCCGGAAUUAUUGGGCGUAAAGCGCGCGUAGGCGGUUUUUUAGUCUGAUGUGAAAGCCCACGGCUCAUCCGUGGAGGGUCAUUGGAAACUGGAAAACUUGAGUGCAGAAGAGGAAAGUGGAAUUCCAUGUGUAGCGGUGAAAUGCGCAGAGAUAUGGAGGAACACCAGUGGCGAAGGCGACUUUCUGGUCUGUAACUGACGCUGAUGUGCGAAAGCGUGGGGAUCAAACGGGAUUAGAUACCCUGGUAGUCCACGCCGUAAACGAUGAGUGCUAAGUGUUAGGGGGUUUCCGCCCCUUAGUGCUGCAGCUAACGCAUUAAGCACUCCGCCUGGGGAGUACGACCGCAAGGUUGAAACUCAAAGGAAUUGACGGGGACCCGCACAAGCGGUGGAGCAUGUGGUUUAAUUCGAAGCAACGCGAAGAACCUUACCAAAUCUUGACAUCCUUUGACAACUCUAGAGAUAGAGCCUUCCCCUUCGGGGGACAAAGUGACAGGUGGUGCAUGGUUGUCGUCAGCUCGUGUCGUGAGAUGUUGGGUUAAGUCCCGCAACGAGCGCAACCCUUAAGCUUAGUUGCCAUCAUUAAGUUGGGCACUCUAAGUUGACUGCCGGUGACAAACCGGAGGAAGGUGGGGAUGACGUCAAAUCAUCAUGCCCCUUAUGAUUUGGGCUACACACGUGCUACAAUGGACAAUACAAAGGGCAGCGAAACCGCGAGGUCAAGCAAAUCCCAUAAAGUUGUUCUCAGUUCGGAUUGUAGUCUGCAACUCGACUACAUGAAGCUGGAAUCGCUAGUAAUCGUAGAUCAGCAUGCUACGGUGAAUACGUUCCCGGGUCU